GUCUUUUCGGAGACAUCCGAUAAAAUUGGAACGAUAAAGAGAAGAUUAGCAUGGCCCCUGCGCAAGGAUGACACGCACAAAUCGAAAAAUGGUCCAAAUUUAU
rfam:Citrus sinensis cultivar Ridge Pineapple sweet orange scaffold00040_contig_109, whole genome shotgun sequence.